GAGUGCGUUGAUGCAAGACUAAACGGUGAAUAUCCUCCCAAAGCUGUUGCCAAGCUGGCUGCAGUAGCUGCGCUAUGUGUGCAAUACGAGGCAGACUUCAGGCCAAACAUGAGCAUAGUGGUGAAGGCUCUUCAGCCUCUGCUCAAUCCUCCUCGCUCUGCUCCUCAAACUCCUAACAGGAACAACCCUUAUUGAUUGAUAUCCUCACAAACACGCUUCACCAUCCACUAUUUCAUUUGUUUUUGUUUGAAUCCAAUUUGUGUAAAUUCGUGCAAAAUAGGCUUUUUUUUUAUUUAUCUCUAAUAAAAAUAACCCUAAAUCCAAUGUUGCUCUAUUUUCUCCUUUUAUGGUAUUUCAUGCGUGGGAUGUAAGUUUCUACUAAUUUUACAAUAUACACCAAUAUUGUGUUUGUGCCAUUUUGUAAAACUGAGAAAGAUGUAUUAUCUUGCUAUUUUAAUGUAGAAUAAUGUCUUGCAAGUCA